CUGACUGGGAGUUUGGGGACAGUAGGGUAAAUUGAAACCAGACACAUCACCUGGGACAUGCGCAGACGAAUGUAAACACGUGCACGAGCUCGGCAAGUGUAUGCAUGCGUCUCGUGCUUAUGCUUCAACUGAUAUUAAUCUGAACGCACUACUGAUACCAACGCUUUCAAACAUUUAAUGUAAUUACACUUUCCUGUGGAUAUAUUGUCUCACAUUCCUACCCCAAGAGGACCAACCAGCACUGCCAACAGGUUAAAAACAUGGUUGACUGACGAGACAACGAUUCUUUAUGACACGUCUCCUUGUUACAAUGCUGUUCACCACUGUAGCGCAUCAAGAGUGGGAGAAGGACGACUCUCUCUUUCUGCAUAUUGGAUCACUUUCAAUGAACUCUGUCAACUGUCUCUCUGGCAUGGGCUUCUCUGGGACCAGACAUGAGAUCAUCGCCGUAUUUCCCAGCAUGAUGCUGUUCCAUAAUGAGGUCAAUGGAGGGAUGUACCGUGUCCCCGCCAUGCUGUGCUGUCCCUCUCCAGCUCCUUCCUGGCCUCAGACACCCAGGCUCACCUUCUGGUCAUGCGCAAGGGCACCUUCUACAGGAACUAUGUAGAGAGGUUGCCGUGGGCGACUCCAAAGCACCCUGGGGGUGGGGCUUGCGAUUGAGCACGUCUGUCAAUCUUUUCCGGAACACCCUGCACAGGAACACAUAGAUCAGCGGGUCCAGACACACGUUAGUGGCACAGAGCCAGAGAGUGGUCUCCUUGGCAACGUAGAGCGCGUUCUGCGCCCAGCAGUGGUUGGCUGUUUUUCGGGUCUGGGUAAGAGUGUAGGGCACUCUGGCGAAAUGAAAAGGGGCGAAACAAACGAAAAACACCACCACCACCACAAAGACCUUGGCCUUGGUUCUGCGGCUGGCCGCGUUGGAGCCACUACGCGAGGCUUUGUAGGACUCGUAGACUUUACGACUGAUGAAAGUGUAACACAACAACAUCAGAGCCAGUGUUCCCCAAAACACCACCUGGGAAGAGGAGGAGAAAAUGCAUUGAACAACAGAGACAAUCUCUAUAAAUACGGCCCCUUGGUUAGCCAGGUUAACGUACUACCGCCAGGAUACCAUUCAGUGUAAUGAUGCCGGCGUACAAGAAUGUAGCCCGUACCUGGCAGAAGUAGUUGAAGCCCUCGUGCCACAGCAGACCGGCCUGACCCUUUAGAGAGGUACACUUCAGCCGACCAGGAGAACCCGACGGUGUGCGGUCACUCAGAAUGGUAUUGGGCAGAGCCAGAGACACCAUCACAGCCCAGACGGCCACACUCAAGGCCUGUCCCACCCCGACCCUCUGGAGGGCGCACUUCCCGAAGGGCCUGACUAUCUUGAGGUAGCGGUCCAGGCUGAUGAGCCCCAGGAGCAGGAUGCUGAUGUACAUGGUGGUGUAGAAGAGGACGGCGGAGUAGCGACAGUAGAACGCACGCAGACGCCAGGAGCCUACGUCCGUGUCCGCGAGGACUUUCACCGGGAUGGACAGGGUCAUCAGCAGGUCUGCCACCACCUGUUGACGAACAGGCCAUCACGUCAGUCAUCAGUCGUUAUUGUUCAACCAUUUCUGGCAGUUGGACUAAAUUUGUUUAUCACAGAAAAUAAAUGCUGGUUCCCUUACUACGUUCUUCAGGUAGACCACGAAGGUGGUGGUGCUACGGAUGUUGAAGAAGAUCCAUGCAGCCAGGCAGUUGAGUACCAGCGCAAACAGGAAGAGGGCGCUGUAGAGACAGGGGAAGACCACCGCCGUCACGCUGGUGUCACGCACACACUUCAGAGACAGGUUUGAUUGGCUGCCGUUCAUCCUCACGCCCAGCAGUACUAUGGAGAGAAACAGAAUAAAAAUGAUUGGAUGAAUAGUAAACAGUAAGGCCUCUAUUUCCCCAUAGCAACACAACAUGCAUUCACCAAAAAAGAGAGGGAGAGAGAGAGAAACAGAGAGAAUAGAGUGAGAAAGAAAGAGAGCGAUAGAGACAACCACUGCACCGAAGCAGAACCUGAGACAGAGCUGC